ACUCAUACCUUGCAGGGGAAAUACCAUGGUCAUGAAAGUGGCUCAUCCACUGCACUUCAGGUGUGCUGAUCCCUGUGAUUUCCCCAAAUGUGGGGAACUCAACUGCAUAAUUUGUGGUAAUGGGGGUUUGCAUUUGUGCUUUCCCUGG
rnacentral:snRNA from 1 species